AUGAACAUUGCUCUACUGACUAGGUGGCUCUGGCGGAUUGCAAACGGAGAGGGAGGCUUAUGCCUCCACGUAAUCCAGCAGAAAUACCUCCAUGGUCAGCCACUAGCCUUCUGUCAGUGGUCUGGUGGCUCCCAGUUCUGGCAAUCCAUCAUACAGCUCCUCCCAAUCCUCCGCAUAGGGACUUCGAUUGCGGUUGGAACUGGCACCGCCACGCUAUUUUGGUUCGAUCAAUGGCCUGGGGACGCACCGUUCGCGGCCCGCUUUCCUGGCUUGUUUGCCAUUGCGGUUGAGCCGCGGAUAUCUGUCGCGGCGGCCCUUAUUAACUUAGGGAAACUUGCACUCCGGCGACCAUUCGGACCUGCGGAGAUCGCCUGACAUGACUUGCUUGACUGCAUCGCGCUGCAUGAGCCUGAUCUAGAUAUGGGAGAUGACAACACUAGGUGGCGACUAGAGCCAUCUGGCCAAUUCUCCACUAAAUCCCUCAACCAGGCGAUCGCCCCCUCCCCGGGGCCUGAGGCUCUCACCACCAUUUGGGAGAUCUGGCUCCCCUUGAAGAUUAGGAUAUUCAUGUGGCAAUGGAUCUAUGGCCUCCUUCCGUCCGUCGUGGAGGUCUUGAAGCGCACCGGCCCUGGUGACGGGCGCUGCCCGCUAUGUGGGCCUGAAGAGGAUUUUAACCAUAUCUUCUUCAUGUGUGUGUCCGCGCAGUUCCUCUGGAGUGUGGGUGGCAGUUGGGAUCACAACAACUUCCGCGCUCUCUUCGCCAAACUUCAGGCAUUACCACCCUCGUCUCGCCACAUUAGGUGGCUGACCAUCGGUGUGCUAGCCUGGACACUAUGGACUGUUAGGAAUAGGCUCGUAAUUCAGCGUAUACCUCUUCGUCGCGCUACUGAUGCUCUGUUUAAAUGGUCUGGUUACUUGCAGCUUUGGCGGCCGCUAAGCCGUCCCAGGAGAGAGACGCCAUCACCUCCAUCAUCACCCAUCUUCGUGCGAUGGCUCUCCGGAUGGCUCCGCCGGUCCCUCCUACCACCAUUGGAUCCGGAUUAG
rnacentral:rRNA from 1 species